AGAGUUUGAUCCUGGCUCAGAAUCAACGCUGGCGGCGUGCUUAACACAUGCAAGUCGCACGAGAACUCUUUAAGCUUGCUUAGAGAUAGUAAAGUGGCGCACGGGUGAGUAACGCGUGGUAAUCUACCCUUGAAUCCGGAAUAACUCGCCGAAAGGCGUGCUAAUACCAGAUAAUAUCAUUUUAACUUCGGUUUAAAUGACCAAAGGUGGCCUCUACAUGUAAGCUACCGUUUAAGGAUGAACCCGCGUACCAUUAGCUUGUUGGUGGGGUAAUGGCCUACCAAGGCGACGAUGGUUAGCUGGUCUGAGAGGAUGAUCAGCCACACUGGAACUGACACACGGUCCAGACUCCUACGAGAGGCAGCAGUGAGGAAUUUUGCGCAAUGGGGGAAACCCUGACGCAGCAACGCCGCGUGAGUGAUGAAGGCCUUCGGGUCGUAAAGCUCUGUCAAGUGGGAAGAACCUGAAAAAUGAUAAUACCAUUUUUUACUGACGGUACCACUGAAGGAAGCACCGGCUAACUCCGUGCCAGCAGCCGCGGUAAUACGGAGGGUGCAAGCGUUAUUCGGAUUUACUGGGCGUAAAGGGCGC
rnacentral:rRNA from 1 species